AUUGAACUGAAGAGUUUGAUCCUGGCUCAGAUUGAACGCUGGCGGCAUGCCUUACACAUGCAAGUCGAACGGCAGCACGGGUGCUUGCACCUGGUGGCGAGUGGCGAACGGGUGAGUAAUACAUCGGAACAUGUCCAGUAGUGGGGGAUAGCCCGGCGAAAGCCGGAUUAAUACCGCAUACGAUCUACGGAUGAAAGCGGGGGACCUUCGGGCCUCGCGCUAUUGGGGUGGCCGAUGGCGGAUUAGCUAGUUGGUGGGGUAAAGGCCCACCAAGGCGACGAUCCGUAGCUGGUCUGAGAGGACGACCAGCCACACUGGGACUGAGACACGGCCCAGACUCCUACGGGAGGCAGCAGUGGGGAAUUUUGGACAAUGGGCGAAAGCCUGAUCCAGCAAUGCCGCGUGUGUGAAGAAGGCCUUCGGGUUGUAAAGCACUUUUGUCCGGAAAGAAAUCCUGGUGGCUAAUAUCCGCCGGGGAUGACGGUACCGGAAGAAUAAGCACC
rnacentral:rRNA from 1 species